rnacentral:misc_RNA from 1 species
GAUGAAGAACGUAGCAAAAUGCGAUAAGUAGUGUGAAUUGCAGAAUUCAGUGAAUCAUCGAAUCUUUGAACGCACAUUGCGCCCCUUGGUAUUCCAUGGGGCAUGCCUGUUCGAGCGUCAUUGACACCCUCAAGCUCUGCUUGGUGUUGGGCCUCCGUCCUCCUCCCGGGGGACGGGCCCGAAAGGCAGCGGCGGCACCGCGUCCGGUCCUCGAGCGUAUGGGGCUUCGUCACCCGCUCUUGUAGGCCCGGCCGGCGCUUGCCGACACAUCAAUCUUUUUUCCAGGUUGACCUCGGAUCAGGUAGGGAUACCCGCUGAACUUAAGCAUAUCAAUAAGCGGAGGA